rnacentral:rRNA from 1 species
AUUGAACGCUGGCGGCAGGCCUAACACAUGCAAGUCGAGCGGAUGAAGGGAGCUUGCUCCUGGAUUCAGCGGCGGACGGGUGAGUAAUGCCUAGGAAUCUGCCUGGUAGUGGGGGAUAACGUCCGGAAACGGGCGCUAAUACCGCAUACGUCCUGAGGGAGAAAGUGGGGGAUCUUCGGACCUCACGCUAUCAGAUGAGCCUAGGUCGGAUUAGCUAGUUGGUGGGGUAAAGGCCUACCAAGGCGACGAUCCGUAACUGGUCUGAGAGGAUGAUCAGUCACACUGGAACUGAGACACGGUCCAGACUCCUACGGGAGGCAGCAGUGGGGAAUAUUGGACAAUGGGCGAAAGCCUGAUCCAGCCAUGCCGCGUGUGUGAAGAAGGUCUUCGGAUUGUAAAGCACUUUAAGUUGGGAGGAAGGGCAGUAAGUUAAUACCUUGCUGUUUUGACGUUACCAACAGAAUAAGCACCGGCUAACUUCGUGCCAGCAGCCGCGGUAAUACGAAGGGUGCAAGCGUUAAUCGGAAUUACUGGGCGUAAAGCGCGCGUAGGUGGUUCAGCAAGUUGGAUGUGAAAUCCCCGGGCUCAACCUGGGAACUGCAUCCAAAACUACUGAGCUAGAGUACGGUAGAGGGUGGUGGAAUUUCCUGUGUAGCGGUGAAAUGCGUAGAUAUAGGAAGGAACACCAGUGGCGAAGGCGACCACCUGGACUGAUACUGACACUGAGGUGCGAAAGCGUGGGGAGCAAACAGGAUUAGAUACCCUGGUAGUCCACGCCGUAAACGAUGUCGACUAGCCGUUGGGAUCCAUGAGAUCUUAGUGGCGCAGCUAACGCGAUAAGUCGACCGCCUGGGGAGUACGGCCGCAAGGUUA